rnacentral:rRNA from 1 species
CCUACGGGUGGCAGCAGUGAGGAAUAUUGGUCAAUGGGCGCGAGCCUGAACCAGCCAAGUAGCGUGAAGGAUGACUGCCCUCCGGGUUGUAAACUUCUUUUAAGAGGGAAGAGCAGAAGACGGUACCUCUUGAAUCAGCCACGGCUAACUACGUGCCAGCCGCCGCGGUAAUACGUCGGUGGCAAGCGUUUGCCGGAUUUACUGGGUGUAAAGGGCGUGUAGCCGGGCGGACAAGUCAGAUGGGAAAUCCCGUGGCACAACCACGGAACUGCAUUUGAAACUGUCGGUGUUGAGUAUCGGAGAGGCAGGCGGAAUGCCUAGUGUAGCGGGGAAAUGCGUAGAUAUUAGGAGGAACACCAGUGGCGAAGGCGGCCUGCUGGACGACAACUGACGGUGAGGCGCGAAAGCGUGGGGAGCAAACAGGAUUAGAUACCCCGGUAGUC